CGGCACACGCGGGCCAUUCCCCUCCCCGCCUCGCAGUGGGGGCCGGAGGGGUUCGUCUGCUGGGCCUGGCUGGUCCUUUGGGAGAGACAAGGAAAGAUUUAAGAAGCUGAAGAGGACAUUCCUAUUCUAGCGAGCAACAUAGCGAAAGGGACUUUUGCAGUGGAGGCUGGUGACUUCCGAAUGUGGGGCCAGAGCUGGGACAGCGGACAUGGACCCUAGGCCCAUGGUUUAUCCUUCAGGAGGAUUCCAGAGGUGUAAGUAGAGGUCAGGAAGAAAUCGGGAAGGUACAAAGUAAGAGCAGAGAGAAAAGAAUCAAAUGAAAAUGGGAGCAGAAAGCUGGCAGCGUGUAAUAGAGUGGGAGAAGGAGGAGCAGAGCGUCAAGAAAGAUUUUGAACUCAAUCGCUGGCUCUCAGCGUUUCCAGAGUACUGUAACCCUUUCAGGGAUCUGAUUUGCCUUGUGUUCCCCAAGUGUCACCUCACUUAAAAACUUAAAAUCAGACCUAAAAAUACAAAAGUGUCACAGCACAUGAAGACUGAAAAAUUGCUGACUUUCACAUGUUCAUGUAAUUAUAAAAUAAAUCAAUUGGAAUAAAAAUAUUGUACUUACAUUUCAGUGUAUAGUAUAUAGAGGAGUACAAACAAGUCAGUGUAUGAAAUUUUAGUUUGUAUUGACUUCAUUAGUGCUUUUAAUCUAGCCUCUUAAAAUUAAGCAAAUAUUAAGAUAAGAUGAUGCAUGCCAUGGCAAACCUCUGCAUCCCCCUUGGGUACAUUUACCCCUGGUUCAGGACCAGUGAACUAGAGAAUACAAAGGAACUGCUUGGAUGUAACUGGAAGAAGAAUUUGGCCUUUAUAUAGCUGCCCAGCAGUUCCCACCUUCAGUUCCUCUUGCUUGUCCCAUAUUCAUUCUCUCAUUUGUUGUACAGCUGAACACACAGAUUGUACCGGUAAAUACCAACACCUGCCGUUAUGCUAGGGCAAUAAGAAACUGAAAUGGAUUUGAGACUGUACUCACUGUGUGCUCUCAUAUAUUGAGACAGAGAGUUCACUUCCAAUAGUGCUCUUCAUCUGAAUGGAAGAGUGUGUCAUAAAUCUAACUCAUUCACUAAUCAUGAGUGAAUUUAUUAGGCAUAAAAGAUGUAGUACAGGUUGAACCUCUCUAGUCUGGCACUUUGGUCCAGCAACAUCUGUGAUCUGGUAUGAUUUUAGUUAGCCGGAUGUCCACUUAUCAUAGGUGUGGCCAAGUUUCCCAUAUAAGGUUUGUUUGCAGCUACUGGUCCUGGCUCUCAGUGUUCUGUGCUGCUUUUAUCUCUAAUUUACCCCUAAUUGUCUUCUAAGAGCCCAAUAAGCAGUGCAAGUGUUGUUAAUGUUGCUAAACAAUAUCGAUCUCCUAUGAUCUGGCAAAUUUUUUGAUUCGGCACCGGUCAGGUCUUGAGGGUGCUGGACUAGAGAGGUUCAAACUGUACUGCUGAUAGAUAUGUAUCAUGUGGGAGGUCAGAUUAUCUGCUCUAGAAUGGUGAGAAUCCUGUUCCCUAUGAGCUGAAAAAGGGUUAGUUCAGGUUAGCUAGACACACCUGAGGCCAGCUAUGGGCUACCAGUGACCUUUAAAACCCUCUCUUGUGCUGAGAGAGGGGAGGAAGACAAGCCGUGGAAGGGGAUUCUCCUAGAAUGCUGUUCUCCUUCCUGUGAAACAGCCAUUGUUAAUGGAUUGUUUGGGGGAAGGAGUGGCACCCACGGGGCAGCAUGGUGAGGCAACAGCCCAGGUUGGAGGCAGGGAAAGGUGUUCAGCUUUUUGAGUUAUGAACUUGUUUUGUUUGGCUUAAGAGUAUCCCUGAGGCCCGCCUUGUAAAAAUGGAGGAAUAAAAAACCUGAGUGAGGAAUAAAAAACCUGUCUACAGUGGGACUGAUUUACUUGCAGCUGUCUCCAUCACCAGAGGGGAACUGUUGUGACUGGAGAGGUCAAGGAGGGGCCCUGCCAUGCCAUCAGUGGGGGAAAUGAUGUGAAAUAAUUUAGACAGAUAAACUAAAGUAACUAUUUAUAUUUUACAUUACGUUCAUUUGCCCUUUUAUCAUAUCUUUCACCUGAGGACCUCACAGUGCUUCACGUAUAUUACUUAACUAGUGAACGUGUAAAAAUGACAUUAUGUGAUUUCAUGCUUAUCGUGUCUCUCUUAUUUCACAGCAGAUGUGUUCAGUUUACAAAUGCAGGCCUCAAAAUCUGUUACAUUUGUUGCAGGGGCAGGGACUCAGGCUAUAAAGAUAUUUUUUCCCCUAACUGCAAACGCAUUAGGAUCUGAGAUCCAAGCUGGUUUCUUUUGUUCUUUCUUCAUCAUCACCACUAUUGAAGAUUCUGCAUUCCUCUGUACAAUUCCUACUUUCUGGCUAUUGGGAAUGGGGGAGGAGAGAAAAACAAAAAAAGUAUGAAAAUAUAGUAUGGAUGUUGUGCAAACCAAAUAUGGAAUCCUUUAGUACUGUUUUCAUAGCGUCACUUUUCAAAGGAGAGACCCCUUUAAAAUGAUCCAGAUGGAUCCCGUACAAGGCCCUGAUCAUCUCCAAACCUAUAUCUUUGCUUAACAGUGAGUACUUGAAUAGUCCCACUGAAUUGUUUGUAGGCUCAGAGCCCAAAUCAUUUAGGUUAUGUCUGCACUGCAAUAAAACACCUGUAACUGGCUCAUACCAGCUGCCUUGAGCUUGUGAGUCUAUAAAAUUGGAGUGUAGAUGUUCUGGCUCAGACUGUAGCCUGUUUUUUGGGAUGCGGGAGGGUCUCAGUGCUUAGACUCCAGCCCUAACUCAAAUGUCUACACUGCAGUUUUAUAGCUCUGCACCCUGGCCCUAUGAGGCUGAAUCAAUAGCGGGGGGCAGCAAUGGGUUUUACUACAGUAUAGACAGUCCUGAUGGGGAGAUGAGCUGUGGAAGAGAGAGUAAGAAUGAAAGGAGAAGGUAGCUCACUCAGCACACAAGAAGUGAGGCUGUUCCAAAUAUAGGAGGCCACGUGAAAAUAGGAAUGAACUGAAGAGUAGGAAAAACUUAAAAAACAACAGAUAGUCUAGUAGCACCUCCUACCUGAAGAAUAGGUGGAGACUGAAGAGAGGCCUGCCUGGAAAACAAAUGCUUAGGCGCACAUAUGUAAGUGAGAGCUUACUUGGCAGCAGAAUCUAUGUAGGGCCUUGCAGAUGAGGAUGGGGAGACUGAAUAUCGGCUGAAAGAGAGUAAACUCAAAAGGGGUCAUGAGGGCAUGCUGGUAAAAGUUAGUACUGCACCUUAUUCACUAUGCAAGGAUAUAUGGUCUGCAGCUUUUCUAGCCAUAAGCACAGUAACUUCCCUUAUUUCAACUUCAAAUGCAAUAAUAAAACCUGGUUUGUUUGAUAUUGCUUCCUAAUGAUUGAGGUGCUGAAAUGUUGCCCCCCCCAAAAGUUGUCUUGGUGAUAAGAAUAUUUUUUUCUUCAGAUAAAUGAAAUAAGUUGAAGUUUUUCCAGUUUCAGAAUGUUCCUACUCAAGUAGA